rnacentral:lncRNA from 1 species
UCUAAAUUUAACCAUGUAGACAAAUUCAAAAUGGGUUAGGAUUUUAAAAGAAACUACUAUCAAACGAAAAUAUGUAUGUUGUUACGGAGACUUAGACGAACCAUGGUUUAUCAACACAAUGAACAUACUCAGCUUGACACAAAUUUCAGCACUAACAGAUCUUAACAAGCAAGUCCAAGGCCAAAUAGAUUCAUUUAGAUAGGACUAAAAAAUCUUCAAGAAAUAAUCUGUAUAACUAGUGUUAAGGGAAUGCAAGAUUGAGUCGCAGGGGAUUCUAAGAUUUCCUUCGAAAGACAAUGGGAGUUGACAACAUAAUUGAUUUUCCUUGAUGCUAAAAUAGAUGUUGACUCUUAUUACAAAAACAAUUUUUUGAGUGAACAAGGUAGUAGCAAAUAAAAUUUUCCACAAGAAGGAGGGAUAAUACAACGAAUUUCAAACUUAUCAAUUUAACAAGAGUGAUAUGAACUAGAGGCAGAACACAUUGUUCGUAACAACACAUUCAUCGAAGCAGGUUGGUAAAACGCUUAAAGAAUAGCCACUAGAAUAAUAAAAUUGUAUUUAAAAUAGCGUAGGAGGGCAGCUUCAUGGAUGAUACUUAAAAGUUUAACACAAUAAAGAGGGAAACUAACAUACACACUGCCAAACUAGAGAAAUAAAGAGGAGUGUCCAAUCAAAUGUCCAUUAUACAAUUUAUAUGUCUUCCCACCUGGAUAUGUCAUUUAAAUACACAUACACACAAAAUUUGCUCGACAUGAAUAUGUAUUCUGGUUCGUGUCGACCAUUCUACACACUAAAACUUAAUAAUCAC